AUUGAACGCUGGCGGCAGGCCUAACACAUGCAAGUCGAGCGGCAGCGGGAGAGUAGCUUGCUACUUUUGCCGGCGAGCGGCGGACGGGUGAGUAAUGCCUGGGGAUCUGCCCAGUCGAGGGGGAUAACUACUGGAAACGGUAGCUAAUACCGCAUACGCCCUACGGGGGAAAGCAGGGGACCUUCGGGCCUUGCGCGAUUGGAUGAACCCAGGUGGGAUUAGCUAGUUGGUGAGGUAAUGGCUCACCAAGGCGACGAUCCCUAGCUGGUCUGGGAGGAUGAUCAGCCGCACUGGAACUGAGACACGGUCCAGACUCCUACGGGAGGCAGCAGUGGGGAAUAUUGCACAAUGGGGGAAACCCUGAUGCAGCCAUGCCGCGUGUGUGAAGAAGGCCUUCGGGUUGUAAAGCACUUUCAGCGAGGAGGAAAGGUUGGUAGCUAAUAGCUGCCAGCUGUGACGUUACUCGCAGAAGAAGCACCGGCUAACUCCGUGCCAGCAGCCGCGGUAAUAC
rnacentral:rRNA from 1 species